AAUGAACGUUGGCGGCAUGGAUUAGGCAUGCAAGUCGAGCGGGAGUAGCAAUACUCUAGCGGCGAAAGGGACAGUAAUACGUAGAUACGUACCCUCCGGUCUGGGAUAGCCACGGGAAACUGUGGGUAAUACCAGAUGACAUCUCCGGAUCAAAGGUGUGAUUCCGCCGGAGGAGCGGUCUGCGUCCUAUUAGCUAGUUGGUGGGGUAAUGGCCUACCAAGGCAAUGAUGGGUAGCGGGUGUGAGAGCACGACCCGCGUCAUUGGGACUGAGACACUGCCCAGACACCUACGGGUGGCUGCAGUCGAGAAUCUUCGGCAAUGGGCGCAAGCCUGACCGAGCGAUGCCGCGUGCGGGAUGAAGGCUUUCGGGUUGUAAACCGCUUUCGGUGGGGAGGAAAUCUAUCAGGGUUCUCUCUGAUAGUUGACCGAUCCGCAAAAGAAGCAAGGGCUAAGUUCGUGCCAGCAGCCGCCGUAAAAC
rnacentral:rRNA from 1 species